AUUGAACGCUGGCGGCAUGCUUUACACAUGCAAGUCGAACGGCAGCGCGGGGGCAACCCUGGCGGCGAGUGGCGAACGGGUGAGUAAUGUAUCGGAACGUAUCCUGUAAUGGGGGAUAACCAGUCGAAAGAUUGGGUAAUACCGCAUACGCACGAGAGUGGAAAGUAGGGGAUCGCAAGACCUUACGUUAUAGGAGCGGCCGAUAUCUGAUUAGCUAGUUGGUGGGGUAAAGGCCUACCAAGGCGACGAUCAGUAGCUGGUCUGAGAGGACGACCAGCCACACUGGGACUGAGACACGGCCCAGACUCCUACGGGAGGCAGCAGUGGGGAAUAUUGCACAAUGGGGGAAACCCUGAUGCAGCGAUGCCGCGUGGAGGAAGAAGGUUUUCGGAUUGUAAACUCCUGUCUUAAAGGACGAUAAUGACGGUACUUUAGGAGGAAGCUCCGGCUAACUACGUG
rnacentral:rRNA from 1 species